GGUGGCAGCCCUGCCCACAGCAGGGGGUUGGAAUGAUCUUUAAGGUUCCUUCCAACCCAAAUCAUUCCGUAAUUCCACAGUUCUGUGAUCAGCCUGGCAACAUCAGUAUGGAAUUUUGUGGCCUCUCAAGGUGCUUCUUUGGUCCUGACUUACAUUUUUUUUCCCUGAGGAUCAGCCACCCAUCCAUUUUGGAGGAAAUACCACGCUGCGUUUAGAAGGGAUUCUGCUUCCAGCACAUUUUCCCACUAAGGUAAGAGCCUCAUGGACAUAGUGAAAAAACACCCUCAGACUCGGGAAGGAGAGCUGUUUUUCUUUGUUCCUCUUUGACAGCUGCGCUGGCAGAAGGGCUCUCUGCUUGUCCACAGAGGAUGGUCCCGUACAUCCCGUGCCCCCGCAAGAUGCCUACUACAACAGAGUACGUUCCGAAAACUCCUGCAGGACUGGAGCCCCCCAGGGUCUGCAUACACCUGGCUCCUGCUGAGUGCCAGCGUGAGACCAGGCCACUGCAUCACCUCCUCAUGUACACACUGAGGAACUGGGCCCUGGGCAGCCUGAUCCAGUGAAUGGCUACCCUGCCCACAGCAGGAGGUUGGAACUGAAUGGGCUUUCAAUUCCAACACCACACAUUCUAUGAUUCUAUGAACUGCCACCACCUCCAGCUGAAGGCAGCUUUAUACCUGCUGGUGAUGGAUAAAGGCUUCACGCAUUGUAAGGCCAGGAUGGACAGUUAGAGUUGUCUGUUCUAACACUGAAAACAUCAACUCAGCCACUAAUAACCACAACAGAAGGAUUUCUUUAAAGACAGUAAUUUCUUAUUGAACUAUAGCAAAAGUGCAUUAGGAAGCUAUUUAGUCUUGAUUUGAAGACAUCAAGAGAAAGUGAACGAAGGAAAGAUGACCCAUAUACGAAGUCUUUCAAGCAGGAAAGAAAGAUGAUGAUACUACAAACCAUAACAUUUCAUAGGGAAUUUGACAGUGAGAGAGAAGGGAUGAAAAGCAUUCUGGAGUUUUCUUUGCGACAAAAAAGAUGCAUUUGCUCAAUUUUCAUAAGUAGCUCUGCAGAGAAGGAUCUGGGUGUCCUGGUAAACAGCAGGUUGGCCUUGAGCCAGCAGUGUUCCUUUGUGGCCAAGAAGGCCAAUGGUAUCCUUGGGUGCAUUAAAAAGAGUGUGGCCAGCAGAUUGAGGGAGGUGGUCCUCCCACUCUACUCUGCCCUGGUGAGGCCACAUCGGGAGUACUGUGUCCAGUUCUGGGUUCUCAAGUUCAAGAAAGACAGAGAUCUCCUAGACAGAGUCAAAUGAAGGGCCACAAAAAUGAUGAGGGACCUGAAGCAUCUCUGAUAUGAGAGACCUGAGACUGUUCAGCCUGGAGAAGAGAAGGCUGAGAGUGGAUCUUAUCAACACUUGCAAACAUCUAAACUGCAGGUGUCAAGAGGAUGGGGCUGGGGUCUUAUCAGUGAUACCCAACGACAGGACAAGAGGCAAUGUUCAAAAACUGGAACCCAGGAAGUUCCAUAUGAAAAUGAGGAUAAUCUUCACAGUUAGAGUGAUGGAGCACUGGUACAGGCUGCCAGGGCAGUUGUGGAGUUUCCUUCUCCAGAGAUAUUCAAGACCUGUCUGGAAGCUUUCCUGCAUGACCUGCUGUAGGGAACUUCUUUCGCAAGGUGUUGGAUUCGAUGAUUUUCAGAAGUCCCUUCCAACCUCUAUGAUUCAGUGAUUCUGUGAUGUCACCUCUAAAUAUUUUCUAGACCACAAUGUGAGUCUUUGUCUUCUCACUGCCAGCUCACUUCUCAUGGCAUUUUCCCAAAUAUCCCAUAUAGAAUAUUCCCCACUGAAUACCUGCACAGAUCGAGCACAAUGCUGGAACAGAACUGAAACUAUGAGACAAGUCCUCAGCCCCUUUCCUGUUCAGCUGGAAACAGCACAUUUUGAGGAAGAGGGCAAGAGAGGAAGAAGGCUUGAAAGUGGAAAGCAGAACACAGUAAUGGAAAAUACUCGAUGAAUUCCAGAUGACACCCCAACCACUAUGCUGCAAAUGUGGAGGGGAACUGACAGAGGGAGAAGGCAAUGCAAAUGAGAUAAGCAAUAAAGCAGCAGAGCCGCACAGCCACAGAUUCUCUUCAGAUUCUUCAGAAGUCAGUGUGCUUAGGCUUGACUUUGAAUUGACAUAAUGGGCACACUUUGCUUGAUGUCUUACUCGCAACUGAGCCAAAUCACAGUGCACUUUAGUUCUCCAGCGUUCUAAUAAGCAUUUGCUUCAAAGCAGCAGUUCAGAUCUCCCUGUGAAUUUUGUCAAGUACACAUCAUAUCAAAGGAUAAGUAUUUGCCAAAGCCUUUCUUCAGCCACAAAGCAGGGGGAAGGUUUGUUUAAAUAAUGUCAAGUUGCACCUGCUGGCUCACACUGGGAGGAUGAAAGGAGCGACUGGAAUUUCUGUCACUGUUGAACCUUACUUUUCAUUUCUUAAAGUAUUUUUAUCAACGUGAAAGGAUUUGUAUUACAAAAGCAGAAUGUUGCUGUAAGGCCAUUCAGGGCCCUUCAAACGGGAAGAUAAUAGAUUCGUGGCUAAUAAAGUGGUACUUGUCUGUGAAGCAAAAGAGUGGGAUUAGGUUGGCAUGUUAACAAGAUGCCGACGCCAUGCAUGCAAAAACAGCUUAACGUAUGGCACAGCGCUCACUUGUGCCUGUGCUCAGGCUUUCAGUGCCUUAGCCCGCAGACUUAUGUACUGUGUACAAGACAAGAACUCUAAGAUGAGAUCGUUCUUUUUCCUGCAUGGGGAGGGCAAUCAAGGCCAGAGCCCUCAUGGAGUAAGCUUCCUCUCCCCCACCACAUCCGGCAGGAAGUUUUGUUUCAUCCUUUAGCUUCACCCAGAGCAAUGUCAGCAGCAGGGAGCAUCUGCAAGCUGUAUCCCCCCUGAGGGAGAGCAAGAGAGCAGGGUUCUGUGAUACAGCAGGGCUGAGAUCUGCUCUCUGCACAGAGUACAUUCAAAGACAUGUAGUGAAAGCUAUUGUUCAGCAUCAGAUGUCCAUGUUCCCAAGCCCAGUGUGCUUUCAUGGUAUAAAUUAAGAGCAUGAACACAGAAUAAAACAGUUGCUAAAGUAACAUUCAUGGAGAGGCAAAAAGGACCUAUAGAAGGGUAUUUCUCACACGAGCAGGUACACCACAUUGAGCCUCAUGGGCUUCCUGUGCCAGUCUGCAUUUUGCUAGCCAGGGAGAACAUGACCUCCUCUCCCAACGUGUGAGUUUGGAAGUGCAAACUUGAAAAGGAAUGAGGUGCUGAGAUCCUUUCACAGCUGAGCUCCACUUGAUAAUGAAGAAGCACAUUAAAUGGGAUAGCCAACUGUGAGAUGCGAACACUCGGCCUAUUUAACAAACCUCGGCUAUUAUCACAAGAGCACGUGGAAAAUCAGGGAGCAGAAAACAGAGCUGCACUGUCUGCAGUCCCACAACACUUUCUCUUUCACUGUACUGCAAGGUAUUAAGUAUACAGUAAUACCAGACAGCACAACCCCCAUCAGUCUGAGAAUGAGGGACUCAGAAAAACAGAGAUUCUCUGUUUUGUGUCAUCUAUGCUAACAAAUAUCUCCAAAAUUGUUUUUCCAGUUUUGCUCUCGGCACCAGCAGGUCCGCUGUCAAGAUGGUGCUCCUUUUCCUCUGUGCAGUGCCGUGGGAACAAACAAGCUGCAUGCAAUUUGCAAACACCUAUGUAAAUGACACUGAUUGCUUCAAAGGUUUUCUUACAUUAACUUAUCAGGAGACUGCUCAUAGAAAGCAUGUCCUACGUCCAGCUGGCUAUUAGGAGGUGAAUAAAGUACUACCAAGCCAAAAAGCAUUUUUUUUUUCAUUUCAAGUGUCAAAACAGUAAGCUACAGGCAGCCCUUAGAGACCAGUUGUACCCUGGAGACAGUUUAUCUGUCCUAAAAUCUCAGUAGAGGAGAUAGGUAACACAGAGAUGCUGCUGGCAGCACACAGAGCAUGUCUCUGUCAAGUUACCAGCCUUAAUUAGAACUUGGCUCCAGUCAAGCUCUUGGAUCACGUACAGCAAAACUCUGGUGAGCUCUGAAUCCAGACACAAUGUUUAGACAUGAUCCAAUUCCCAACUCAGCCUUGCAUUGUGCUCACUUAGAAGGGGAUGGGGCUCAUCUCUAAUUCAAGGCAGCCUGAUCAGAGGAUAACCAAAGUUGCCAUCUGCUGCCUGAUCUGAAGCCUGAUGAAAAGUUUGCUGCUCUUUCUUGUUCUUCCAGGAGGGAGUUGUAACAGCAAAUUCUGCAGCUAGGAUAGAAAAGUGAAAACCCCACACUAAACAAUUAUGCCUAGACCUAGUUUAUUCAGCAUUAAGUUUCACUGUUUAAGAUUUAUAAAGAGGGUAAAGAACUCCUAACGCUUCUACAUCAUACAUACUUGAACUCAGUCUCCAACAUCAACAUGUUUACAUUCCUAACCAUAUACGGGAAAUGAUACAAAAUUCCCUCGGGAAUUAUGCAUUUCAUUCAUCCACAUCACCUUCAUCUUCUUAAAAACAAACAUUAUUGCAAAUGCCUAAACUAAAGACUACUGUCAUGGAUUUGCUUAGAUAACAGCUUUAUAGUUUGUCAUGGUGGGGGGCAGUGAGGUUUGCUGCCUCUCUUGAUCCAUUGCCUUAAGCUCAGCUCAGCUUCCUGUACCAUCCGCAGCUUCUAUGAGGCAUAGACAUCACCCAGCCUUCCCACUGCACAAGAAAAGAUCUUAUUUUCACUCCAUCUCUCACAUCUAUAUCACCUUAGUCUUUGCUAUGCACUGCAGUGUACUGCCUGAUUUACACCUUACAUGUUAUCUCACUGCAUUUUCCCCUAGAUGUCUCUCUGCCUGGAGGCAGCCCUAUCCCAGACAUUGACCUCCUUCUGCUCUUCCCGUCCUGAGUUGUGGUCACCCAGAAAUCCCUGAGUCCUGCACCUUUUCCAUGGCAAUUUGUGACCAGAAGGAUCAGGGCGGAGUGGCUGCUGCAAAAGCUGUUGUUAACAGUCAG